ACUACAGGAUUCCCCUAGUAACGGCGAGUGAAGCGGGAAAAGCUCAAAUUUGAAAUCUGGCGGUCUCAGGCCGUCCGAGUUGUAUUCUAGAGAGGCGUCUUCCGCGCCGGACCGUGUACAAGUCCCUUGGGAUAGGGCGUCAUAGAGGGUGAGAAUCCCGUCCAUGACACGGACCGCCGGUGCUUUGUGAUGCGCCUUCAAAGAGUCGAGUUGUUUGGGAAUGCAGCUCAAAACGGGUGGUAAAUUCCAUCUAAAGCUAAAUACAGGCGAGAGACCGAUAGCGAACAAGUACCGUGAGGGAAAGAUGAAAAGCACUUUGGAAAGAGAGUUAAACAGUACGUGAAAUUGUUGAAAGGGAAACGCUUGGAGUCAGUCGCGUCCGCCGGGACUCAGCUGGGCUUUUGCCCGGUGCACUUCUCGGUGGAUGGGCCAGCAUCGAUUUCAGCUGCCGGACAAGGGCGGGAGGAAUGUGGCACCUCCGGGUGUGUUAUAGCCUCUCGUCGUAUACGGUGGCCGGGAUCGAGGUCAGCAGCACGCCUUAUGGUCGGGGUUCGCCCACGCCACGUGCUUAGGAUGCUGGCGUAAUGGCUCUAAACGACCCGUCUUGAAACACGGACCAAGGAGUCUAACAUGCUCGCGAGUGUUCGGGUGGCAAACCCGUCCGCGUAAUGAAAGUGAUACAUUGGGACCCUUCACUGGGGCACCGAUGCCCGAUCCUGACCUUCUGUGACGGAUUUGAGGCAGAGCGCGUAUGUUGGGACCCGAAAGAUGGUGAACUAUGCCUGAAUAGGGCGAAGCCAGAGGAAACUCUGGUGGAGGCUCGUAGCGAUUCUGACGUGCAAAUCGAUCGUCAAAUUUGGGUAUAGGGGCGAAAGACUAAUCGAACCAUCUAGUAGCUGGU
rnacentral:rRNA from 1 species